rnacentral:sRNA from 1 species
AUCAACUUUCGAUGGUAGGAUAGAGGCCUACCGUGGUGGUAACGGGUAUCCCUACACAGGGAGGCAGUGACAAUAAAUAACAAUACAGGGUUCUUUGGAUCUUGUAAUUGGAAUGAGUACAAUUUAAAUCUCUUAACGAGGAACAAUUGGAGGGCUCCAAUAGCGUAUAUUUAAGUUGUUGCGGUUAAAAAGCUCGUAGUUGAAUUUCGGGAUCAGUACGUCGGUCGUGCCGCAGUAUGUACUGGCGUUAUUGGUUCCUCCCUUCUGAUGAUCUAUAGUAUCAUUAAUUUGAUGUUAGGACUGUUACUUUGAAAAAAUUAGUGUUUAAAGCAGACAAUCGGCUUGAAUACAUCAACAUGGAAUAAUGAAAUAGGAUGUUCAAUCUUAUUUCGUUGGUUUCUAGGAUCAACGUAAUGAUUAAUAGGGAUAGUUGGGGGCAUUGAUAUUUAAUUGUCAGAGGUGAAGUUCUUGGAUUUAUUGAAGACUAACUACUGCGAAAAGGAUGUUUUUAUUAAUCAAGAUUAAUCAAGAGCGAAAGUUAGAGGAUUGAAGACGAUCAGAUACCGUCGUAGUCUCAACCGUAAACUAUCCCAACUAG